rnacentral:rRNA from 1 species
UACGGGGGGGGGCAAGCGUUGUUCGGAAUUACUGGGCGUAAAGGGCUCGUAGGCGGCCAACUAAGUCAGACGUGAAAUCCCCAGGCUCAACCUGGGAACUGCGUCUGAUACUGGAUGGCUUGAAUUCGGGAGAGGGAUGCAGAAUUCCAGGUGUAGCGGUGAAAUGCGUAGAUAUCUGGAGGAAUACCGGUGGCGAAGGCAGGUCUCUGGGCAUUAACUGACGCUGAGGAGCGAAAGCAUGGGAGCGAACAGG